GACGAACGCUGGCGGCGUGCCUAAUACAUGCAAGUCGAGCGAAGUUUUUCUGGUGCUUGCACCGGAAAAACUUAGCGGCGAACGGGUGAGUAACACGUAAAGAACCUGCCUCAUAGACUGGGACAACUAUUGGAAACGAUAGCUAAUACCGGAUAACAGCAUUAACUGCAUGGUUGAUGUUUAAAAGUUGGUUUUGCUAACACUAUGAGAUGGCUUUGCGGUGCAUUAGCUAGUUGGUGGGGUAAAGGCCUACCAAGGCGACGAUGCAUAGCCGACCUGAGAGGGUGAUCGGCCACACUGGGACUGAGACACGGCCCAGACUCCUACGGGAGGCAGCAGUAGGGAAUCUUCCGCAAUGGGCGAAAGCCUGACGGAGCAACGCCGCGUGAGUGAAGAAGGAUUUCGGUUCGUAAAGCUCUGUUGUUAGGGAAGAAUGAUUGUGUAGUAACUGUACACAGUAGAGACGGUACCUAACCAGAAAGCCACGGCUAACUACG
rnacentral:rRNA from 1 species